AUCUCUCCGGUGGCCUAGUGGUUAGAGCGUCCGCCUCAGAUGGGUGAGGUCGUGGGUUCAAAGCCUAGCCGAGUCAUA